UUAAUAUUCAGAGUCAUCCACGGGUCUAGAAUUCUGCUCAUUCAACAACCACAAUUACUCAGGCCGAUGAUGUAAAUUGGGUCCAAACUGUAAUAUGUGGAGCCAUUAAUUGGUGCCUUUCAUGCAUGUUGUAUAUUUUAUUUGGUUCGUUGCAGACAGUUAAGCAAUUAUUUGGAAAAUUUUGGAAGAUCCUCUUGUCUUUAAUUAUUUGGAAAAUUUUGGUUCGUCGCAGACAGUUAAUGUCUGCAAUUAUUUUGCUAUUACUUCAAACCUUAAGCAAUCAAAGAUUUCCUCUGUCUUUCGGUGUGGUGCUUAAGGCCUAAAACACCACAUCGAAAGAUUCUCUUGUCUUUAAUAUCUUUAUCAUCUUAUUAAUAGCCAGGUAUUUUGAACCGAUCUCUGCCGGCUAAUUAAUUGCAUGUCGUAAUGUGAAUUUGUUCAUGUCCCUUGAGUCCAAAAGUUUCAAGAAUUUAUGCAACCGCUUUUGCUCGCCAUUUCCCUUUCCCUUUCGAGGUGCGUGCAGAUAUAUAUUUGAUCCAUUAAUUUUAACUGAGUUGUUACUUCUUUUGAUAAGAAAUUGGGGGCCUUUCUUAGUUGAGGACCUGCUAGAUCGGUGUCGAUCUGUGGUAAAGAAGUAUUUUUUCUAGCUUUUGGCUCCUCAUCUGACACACACCAAAAACAUAAUUAAAACGGGCAUUGUUUAUGGCUCGGUUUGUUUGCUUAGAAUCAUGAGUUGGAAUGGGAAAACAUUUCCCGAUCUCGCAAGAUAUAUGUUAGAUUUGGAUUGGAAGGAAUAAUUCUCUAAUAUUAUGGCAUAUUAGAAGUACAAGUGAAUGAGGUUUCAUUUGGAGAGGAUUAGAAGAGGUAAGACAUGAAAAAUACGCAUCCCUUAUAAUCCUACAAUUUUGGAGAGGAUUGUAAAAUAUAUGUUUUUUCAUGAGUAUUAAUCUGUAUUCUACCUUCUAGUUGAUCAUAAUUUUUUUUAUUUCUCACCUCAACAUGUAUACUUUGGAAUUAGAAAGUUAUCUAUUCCAAUCUAAUCCUAUACUAAACCAGUCCGUAGCCCAAGUCAAAUUCCAUUAGCAUUGAUAUUAAGAAACACAUAAAUACAUACGUCAAUUUAUAACAGAAUAUACGUUUUUUUGUGGUACCCCAUCCAAACAACAAUUAAUUGGUCCAAUUUUAUUUCUUAAGUGAAGGCAUAGAGAAACUACAGUCGCAUCCUGUAGAAAGCACACUAGUAAAAAUGUUUUAAGGGUUCCAUUGUUACUACAAUAGUUUAUGUUGGAGAAUGGAAUCGAGCAUAGACAAAAUAAUAUACUAUUCUAUUAACAAAUAGGAGUUUUCGCUUCUAAUAUAACCGAGACUGUUUGUGAUAAAACUCAAUACCUAACAAUAUGAGAUAUUGUUUAGGCCGA
rnacentral:lncRNA from 1 species